UUGUCCGGAAUUGUUGGGCGUAAAGAGCUCGUAGGCGGUGAGUCGCGUCGUCCGUGAAAACCUGCAGCUUAACUGUGGGCUUGCGGUCGAUACGGGCAUCACUGGAGUUCGGCAGGGGAGACUGGAAUUCCUGGUGUAGCGGUGAAAUGCGCAGAUAUCAGGAGGAUCACCGGUGGCGAAGGCGGGUCUCUGGGCCGAUAUCGACGCUGAGGAGCGAAAGCGUGGGGAGCGAACAGG
rnacentral:rRNA from 1 species